rnacentral:lncRNA from 1 species
UUGGUGUUGACACCGUUUUUGGGCACGUGUCCAGGACGGCAGGAUAAGAUGGCAGUGUUUUGUUUACAGGAUGAGUUGCCGAUGAGGAUGGUUGUCGAUAGGGGAGAAAUUGAACGUGACUAAGUCUACAGGCAGUGAUGUGUUUGUGCCGAUGGCUAUGAUGAGGAAAUCUGCCGAUGACUAUGGCAAGGGAGUCUGCCGAUAAUACGAAGGGAGAGUCCGGAAGCUGCCGAUCGGUUUGUGGAGGAGUUUCAGUUUGUCACGGGGGAUAGUUUUGUUAUUUCCUUAGUUAUUUACAUUGUUUUGUAUACGGAUUCCGUGUAAUUUGGAACUCGAAUUCUAAUCGUGUCUGGUUGUAGCUCUUUGAGCAGGGUAUAAAUAUAGACCCUAGGACCUUGUAAUGAGAUAUCUAUCAAUCAAUCAAACACACGUUUUUACUCAUAUUCCAGCAUCUACUUUUCGACGACUUCGUCAUACUUUUUCCCUUUUAUUACGAGUUCUUAGGAAUUCGUCGACUUAAGCUCGGCGUGUUCUCGAGUUCCGCGUG